rnacentral:rRNA from 1 species
GCUAUCUACAGGCUUAACACAUGCAAGUCGUGGGGCAGCAUGGUCUUAGCUUGCUAAGGCCGAUGGCGACCGGCGCACGGGUGAGUAACACGUAUCCAACCUGCCGUCUACUCUUGGACAGCCUUCUGAAAGGAAGAUUAAUACAAGAUGGCAUCAUGAGUCCGCAUGUUCACAUGAUUAAAGGUAUUCCGGUAGACGAUGGGGAUGCGUUCCAUUAGAUAGUAGGCGGGGUAACGGCCCACCUAGUCUUCGAUGGAUAGGGGUUCUGAGAGGAAGGUCCCCCACAUUGGAACUGAGACACGGUCCAAACUCCUACGGGAGGCAGCAGUGAGGAAUAUUGGUCAAUGGGCGAGAGCCUGAACCAGCCAAGUAGCGUGAAGGAUGACUGCCCUAUGGGUUGUAAACUUCUUUUAUAAAGGAAUAAAGUCGGGUAUGGAUACCCGUUUGCAUGUACUUUAUGAAUAAGGAUCGGCUAACUCCGUGCCAGCAGCCGCGGUAAUACGGAGGAUCCGAGCGUUAUCCGGAUUUAUUGGGUUUAAAGGGAGCGUAGAUGGAUGUUUAAGUCAGUUGUGAAAGUUUGCGGCUCAACCGUAAAAUUGCAGUUGAUACUGGAUAUCUUGAGUGCAGUUGAGGCAGGCGGAAUUCGUGGUGUAGCGGUGAAAUGCUUAGAUAUCACGAAGAACUCCGAUUGCGAAGGCAGCCUGCUAAGCUGCAACUGACAUUGAGGCUCGAAAGUGUGGGUAUCAAACAGGAUUAGAUACCCUGGUAGUCCACACGGUAAACGAUGAAUACUCGCUGUUUGCGAUAUACUGCAAGCGGCCAAGCGAAAGCGUUAAGUAUUCCACCUGGGGAGUACGCCGGCAACGGUGAAACUCAAAGGAAUUGACGGGGGCCCGCACAAGCGGAGGAACAUGUGGUUUAAUUCGAUGAUACGCGAGGAACCUUACCCGGGCUUAAAUUGCAGAUGAAUUACGGUGAAAGCCGUAAGCCGCAAGGCAUCUGUGAAGGUGCUGCAUGGUUGUCGUCAGCUCGUGCCGUGAGGUGUCGGCUUAAGUGCCAUAACGAGCGCAACCCUUGUUGUCAGUUACUAACAGGUUCCGCUGAGGACUCUGACAAGACUGCCAUCGUAAGAUGUGAGGAAGGUGGGGAUGACGUCAAAUCAGCACGGCCCUUACGUCCGGGGCUACACACGUGUUACAAUGGGGGGUACAGAGGGCCGCUACCACGCGAGUGGAUGCCAAUCCCCAAAACCUCUCUCAGUUCGGACUGGAGUCUGCAACCCGACUCCACGAAGCUGGAUUCGCUAGUAAUCGCGCAUCAGCCACGGCGUGGUGAAUACGUUCCCGGGCCUUGUACACACCGCCCGUCAAGCCAUGGGAGCCGGGGGUACCUGAAGUGCGUAACCGCGAGGAGCGCCCUAGGGUAAAACUGGUGACUGG